GAUGAACGCUGGCGGCGUGCCUAAUACAUGCCAGUCGAACGAUACUUCCUUAUCACCUGGUGCUUGCACUCGCCGAUGAAGAGUUGAGUCGCGAAUGGGCGGGUAACAACUCGGGAAUCAGCCCAAGAGACGGGGAUUACUAUCGGAUACAGGUGUUAACACCACAUAACGAUAGUUACCGCAUGGUACGUUUUUGAUAGGUGGCUGUCCUACCGCUUUUGGAUGGGCCUGCGGCGCAUUAGCUGGUUGGAAGGGUAAAGGGCUACCAAGGCAAGCAUGCGUAGCCGAAGUGAGAGGGGGAUCGGCCACAUUGGGACUGGGACACGGCCCAAACUCCUACGGGAGGCAGCAGUAGGGAAUCGUCCACAAUGGGCGAAAGCCUGAUGGAGCAACGCCGCGUGGGUGGAGAAGGUGUUCGGAUCGGAAAACCCUGAUGUUAGUGAAGAAAGUGCGUGAGAGUAACUGUUCACAUAUCGACGGUACCUAAACAGAAAGCCACGGCUAACUACGUG
rnacentral:rRNA from 1 species